rnacentral:rRNA from 1 species
GACGAACGCUGGCGGCGUGCUUAACACAUGCAAGUCGAACGGUGAACGAGGGAGCUUGCUCCCUCCGGAUCAGUGGCGAACGGGUGAGUAACACGUGAGCAAUCUGCCCCGAACUCUGGGAUAAGCGUUGGAAACGACGUCUAAUACCGGAUACGACGCGGGAGGGCAUCCUCUCCGCGUGGAAAGAACUUCGGUUCGGGAUGAGCUCGCGGCCUAUCAGCUUGUUGGUGAGGAACGGCUCACCAAGGCGACGACGGGUAGCCGGCCUGAGAGGGUGACCGGCCACACUGGGACUGAGACACGGCCCAGACUCCUACGGGAGGCAGCAGUGGGGAAUAUUGCACAAUGGGCGCAAGCCUGAUGCAGCAACGCCGCGUGAGGGACGACGGCCUUCGGGUUGUAAACCUCUUUUAGCAGGGAAGAAGCGAAAGUGACGGUACCUGCAGAAAAAGCACCGGCUAACUACGUG